rnacentral:lncRNA from 1 species
GAAAAGUUGGGCCUACUUUUUCUAUUUGUAGGCACAGAGUCUCUGGUCCCUGGUCCAAUUUGAGUUGAGUUUUGUGCAGGGUGAGAGGUAUUCAAUUUCAUUGUGCUCUAUAUGGUUUUUCAUGCACCAUUUGUUGAAGAGGCUAUCUUUUGUCCAAUGUAUGUUUUUGCCACCUUUGUCUAGUAUGAGAUAACUAUAUUUAUGCGGGUUUGUAUAUGUGUCUUCUAUUCUGAAACAUUAGAAUUCAUGUCUGUUUUGGUGCCAAUAGCUUGCUGUUUUUGUUACUAUAGCUCUUUAGUAUAAUUUAAUGUCUAGUAUUGUGAUGCCUCCUGCUUUACAUUUUUCACUAAGGAUUGCUUUGGCUAUUUGGGCCUCUUAUUUUUCAAAAUGAAUCUCAUGACUGCUUUUUCUAUUUUUAUGAAAAAUAUCACUGAAAUUUUAAUAGGAAUUGCAUUAAAUCUGUAUAGUGCCUUUUGGUAGUGUGGCCAUUUUGACUAUUAAUUAUGCAUAUUAAAGAACAUGGGAGAUCUUUCCAUCUUCUAAGGUCUUCUUUAAUUUCUAUCUUUAAUGUUCUGUAUUUUUCAAUAUAGAGGUUUUUCACCUCUUUUGUUAGAUUUGAUUCCUAAAUAUUUUUUGAGGCUACUAUGAACGGGACAGUUUUCCUAAUUUCUCUUUCAGUUGAUUUAUCACUGAUACAUAGGAAUGCAAUUGAUUUGUGGGUGUUAAUUUAAUAUCCUGCUACUUUGCUGAAUUUAUUUAUGAGUUCUAGAAGUUUUCUGCUAGAGGUUUUUGGUCUUAUAAAUAUAGAAUCAUAUCAUUGUCAAAUAGCGAUAGUUUGAGUCUUUCUUUUCCUAUUCAUAUCCCUUUAAUUUUCUUCUUCUGCCUAACUGCUGUGGCUAGAGUUUCAAGCACUAUAUUGAAUAGAAGUGGUAAAAGAGGGCAUCCUUGUCUUGUUUCAGUAUUUAGAGAGAAUGCCUUCAAUUUUUCUCCAUUUAGAAUGAUGUUGGCCUUGGGUUUAGCAUAUGCAGCUUUUAUAGUGUUGAGGUAUGUUCCUACUAUCCCUGGUUUUUCUAGUGUUUUAGACAUAAAUGGAUGCUG